rnacentral:lncRNA from 1 species
GAGAGUAUUUUAACGACGGAUGGAUAUAUAUGGCCCUAAUGUAUAACGGUGGAGACAUAUUUGUUAAAAAAUUCAAACGGAGGCUAAAUAUGACCUAUUUUGAAUAGUACAAGGACAUAUUUGACCCUUAGCCAUAUUUUUUAAAUCAGCUACGCCAAACAGGCUCUUAUUCACUCGUCUUAUUCUUUAACCCAGGAUAAUUUGUUGAAAAAUAAAAUUGAAACCUUCAACUUUUUUUGAAUUAGGGCUAUGAACUACUUAGACCACCUCUUCUUGUAUUCAAUGAAAAUUAAUGGACCUCAAAUUUGGCCCCCUCCCUUUGGUUUCAAAAUAAAGUUACUGGGAAAAUACAAAUUACAUAUCAGAAGAGUGAAAAUCAAAUGCAUAAAGAAGCUCAUCCUAGCAUUGGCAGCUCCUGUCUUGUUGCUGAUGGAACUGAACCGCCACCUCCACUAACCUUCGACAACCAUUCAAACAAAAGCCUCUCAACUCUUAGUUGCAAGUUCCGAUCUUGUUACUAACAAGAGUUCACAAUCGAGGGACUAUUAGAAACAACCUCUCCUUCACACACGGGUAAAGUUUGUUGUAGUAGAAAUACAAGUUUACAAAAUCAUUUCAAUACCAAAGGAUAUGUGGGCUAAAAACAUGGCCACAACGCAUCACUUUGUAACCAAAUAAAUGAACAAACAAACAUAUCAACAAGGGCAAGAUUGGCAGGUCAGAAUACAUUAGCAUAACUAUUAGAGCUCAUAGAGUCAUUUGGAACUCUUGCAAAUAGAGCGGUUUUCAUCAUUCUUGCCAAUGACAAGCAAGAAAUAUAUAUGAUUUAUAUAGAGGUCAAACAACUAAAAGUUAAGAUUAACAGUGAUGUUGAAUUCUUGAAGGAACAUAUCAAGAUUGGUAAGAUUAUGUAGAAAAUUUGGAAGUACUAACAAUCUCGUAUAAAUUGAAAUACUUCAUGCUCUACCAAAUUUAUACAAACAAUCUCGUAUAAAUUGAAAUACUUCAUGCUCUACCAAAUUAUGCCAUAUAAAUUAAAAUGGAGAAGAUAUUCAUAAAGGCAAGUUAAAAGAUAUAUCCCCAUCUAGAGCAAUCUGAAGUACCUAUAAGUCACACCACGGUAAGCAAAUUGAAACAAAGGAGUAAUCCAUAGGCACGUUGGAAUGUAAAUAUGCCUCAAUGUUAAGCUCAUAGAGGAAUACACCCCUCGCACAUGUAUUUUUCUGUCAUUCUUGCCUUAACAAAAGAGUAGUUUAACCAAAAAAAACAUGCAAUAAAAUGUGCACGGGGCAUAUUUAUAUUCCAAAGUACCUAACUAGAGAAAUCCAAAGUACCUAUAAGUCAGACCACGACAAACAAAUUGAAACAGAGGAGUAAUCAAUAAAGGCAAGUCAGAAUAUAAAUAUGCCUCGAUGUUAAGCUCAUAAAGGAAUUCACCCCUCGCACAUCUAAUUUGUUUUCAUCAUUCUUGCCCCAACCAACAAGAGAGUAGUUUACCAAUAAAAGUUGCGAUAAAAUGUACAUCCCACCAUCUACUAGAGCAAUUUGAAGUAUCUAUAAGUAAGACUACGGCAAGCAAAUUGAAACAAAGGAGUAAUACGUAAAGGCAAGUCAGAAUAUAAAUAUGCCUCGAUGUUAAGCUCAUAGAGGAAUACAUCCCUCGCACAUCUAAUUUUUUUCAUCAUUCUUGCCAAAACAAAACAUCAGAUUUACCGAUAAAGCCUACAGCGAGCAAAUUGAAACAGCAGAGUAACCCAUAAAGGCAAGUCAGACUAUAACUAUGCCUCGAGGUUAAGCUCAUAGAGGAAUACACCCCUCACGCAUCUAAUUUUUUUCAUCAUUCUUGCCAUAACAAAAGAGUAGAUUUACAAAUAAAGCCUGUAUCUACUAGAGCCGAAGGACUUAUAAGUCAGACUACGGCAAGCAAAUUGAAAAAAUGGAGCAAUCCAUAAAAGCAAAUCAGACAAUAAAUACGCCUUGAUGUUAAGCUAAUAGAGGAAUACACCCCUCACACGUAAUUUUUUUUUCACCAUUCUUGAAAAAACAAAAGAGUAGAUAUGCCAAUUCCCUCCCCACGUCUACUGGAGCAAACCGAAGAAUCUUUUGUUCUAUAAUCCCACAAUAUGGCAAAGAUACACUUACUAAGUCAUGUAAAUUGAACAAAUGCAGUAAUCCAUAAAGGCAAGUCAGAAUAUCAAUAAGCCUCGAUGUUAAGCUCACACAGGAAUUAACCCCUGGCACAUCUAACUUUUUUCAUCAUUCUUGCCAUGACUAAAGAGCAAAGUCAUCAAAAAAAGCAUGUAUUAAAAUGCUAUGUUGUUAGAGUCCUUCAAAAAUUCCGCUGAACACGUAUAGCAUCCUCCAAUACUACUACUACUACUACUACAACAACAACAACAAAAACCAGGCAAAAAUAACAAAAAUAUAAGGAAAACCAAAACUCAAGCAAGUCAGAAUAUCAAUAAGCAUUGAAGUUACGCUCAAAAAGAAAUUCACCUCUCGCACAUCUAAAUUUUUUCAUCAUUCUUGCCAUAACAAGGAAUAUAUUAACUAAUAAAACUUGCAAUAAAAUGUAUACCCAUCCAUUUACUUGAGCAAUCCAAAGUAUCUUUUGUUCUAUAAUCUAACAAUAUGGAAAAGAUACACCAUAUAAAACACACUAUGACAUACAAAUUACAAAAGCGAAGGUAGUUCAUAAAAGGCAAGUCAGAAUAUCAAUAAGCCUCGAUGUAAGCUCAUAAAGGAAUUCCACCUCUCACACAUCUAAUUUUUUCAUCAUUCUUGCGAUAACAAAGAGUAAAUAUACAAAUAACAAUUACAUCAUAAUGUACACCCCACCUCAACUAGAGUCAUUCAGAGUAUCUUUGGGUCUAUAAUCCCAUAUGGGAAAGAUAGAACCAAAAAAGGGAAAUGACCAAAUAUAAUUAGGAGAGGCAAAAAGAGAAUCACUAAAGGAAAACCCUAAAGAGAACCUCCAGCAUAUACAACUCUCUUAAUAUAUAUACAAGUACAUUAAACAAGUGUGUAUAUACAGUUAAUGUAGCGCGGCUAUGACUCAAAACGCUUCCAUGGUGCAUAGUGGAAGGCGAUCUUAAGGGCUGCGCAAAAUAUCAAAAUUAUUCUAGAAUAAAUAGUAUAUUCCUAAAGUGCCAUCUCUCAAAAAAUAUACUUAAAAAGGUAGAUUUUUUUCAUUGGUAACAAAUUUUACCAACUUAAUUAUAAGAACACGUCCUAAAGUGCCAUCUCUCAAAAAAUAUAAUUAAAAAAGGUAGAAUUUUUCCAUCAAAGAAAUUUAUAUCAACAAAAUUUUACCAAUUUUAUUAUAAGAACACGAAAUUAAACAGUUUGUAGUUUAAAAAACAAUGCACAGUAAUAUAUCAAAGCUAAUAAUUGAUCUGCAAACCAUUGUUUUCUUUUCAACAAGUGAUGCGUCUAUACUUUCAGUGAACCGAGGGUCUAUCAAAAACAGUAUCUUUAGUUUCACAAGGGUAUGUACAAACUACCCUGCCCAUAUACACUUGGAUUUUUUGAUGUUGUUGUUGUUAUAAGGUGCAAAAUAAUACUGUACCAUCCAUGAAAAUCAACUGCAAGAUUAAUUACAGCUGACAAAGUGAAGAAUGGGAAUAAAUAUCAGGAACUAAGAACACCCUCUAUUGCACUUAACAAGCAGGAGAGAAGAUAAUAGAUAGCUCCUCCUCGGCAUUUAAGCAUGCAAUUACAUACAAUUAAAGGGUAGAAAAACUAAAAAACGCACAAAACGUAAUUUAUACCAAAGUCUCAUAGUUCUGAAACAAAUUUUAAAGUUUACCAGUCAUGCUAAUCAACUGUAACAGAAGAAAACACAGCUGACUAAGUUGAGAAUGGCAAUAACUAUAAGGGUACUUAUAACAUCCCUGUAGUAUAUAAAUUGCUACGGGUUUAACAGAAAUAUUACGCACCCAAUAUUCACAAGAAUUUAAGGGGAAAACAACAAAGAACAGAGAGCAAAUUGGAAACCAUGAAAAUUAAAGUAAUAGAGAACAAGCUCACAUUGGUUUAGUAAGAAGCUCAUUUUCUAGCGGUAUUCGGCUAUCUUGGGGAGCUUAAACCGCAGGAGUUGGUGAGUGAAAAACAGAUUAUUUAUAGAAUCGCCAGUUUUAGGGUUUUUGAAGAGC